rnacentral:lncRNA from 1 species
GUUUCCCGGUGGCGGUUGCAGGGGCUGCGGUAAGGGGUUGCAGCGGGCAUUCUGUCUCUGCCGAGCCAGCAACUGCGAGCAUUGCUAUUCUCUGGCCAGACCCCGUGCUCCUGGGUCAGGAGGAGGGAGGCAGCUGAGGAUGUGCGCAGCACACUUUUUAUAUAUGUGGGGCCAUAAUAUUUAAGUGUCUUGGCUGUAAGCCUGCGACUGGGUCCCCCGACAGCCAAGCCUUGCUCCGCACGCUCUAACAGCUGUCUGUAAAACCCGUUUAUGGAGCCUCCAUAAAUUUCCCAGCUGCUGCAAACACAGGGCUGGGGACAAAGAGUCGAGGGAGGGAGGUGUGGAAGAGCAGCAGCUUCAGCGUCUCCGCUGGCUGGUCCUCUGGGCCCCAGCUUGCCCCCCACCCACCUGGGGCUGCCUUACCCUAAAUUCUUUUAUUGAAGCUGAUCUUAACGUCGACCCCGUGGGGCCUGGCUGGGCGAUCCAGCUCACCACAGAUGCAGGCACUUUCAAGAUUGCAGCAAAAGGGCCUGGAGCUUGAGCUGGAACCCACGCUGCUUGUCUGGGGCUUGAGCCGCCUUCAUCACGCAUGCCAGCUCACCCCUGAGUCACACCUGCUCCCUGAGCCUCUGGCUCGGGGCCUCCCACAGAUGGAUCACCUGCUGUGUACCUGACUCCAAGCAGUUAACUUGGCUGAACUCAAACUUCAAACUCUCCCCAUUUUUGGGAGGCCAAGGUGGGAGGAUCACUUGAGGCCAGGAGUUGGAGACCAACCUGGGCAACAUAGCAAGGCCUCAUCUCUACCAUAAAUAAAAAGGUUUUAAGAAAGAAGUAUA